UCCAGUCUGCUCACUGAAAUUUUAAAGAGCCGCAGUAUAUUGACUGUGCAAAGGUAGCAUAAUCAAUAGUUUUUUAAUUGAGAACUUGUAUGAAAGAUUAGACGAGAAAUUUAUUUUCUUUAUUUUAUAUAAUUAAAUUUUAAUUUUAAGUGAAAAUGCUUAAGUAAAUUUAAAAGACGAGAAGACCCUAUAGAUUUUUAUUAUUUAAAUAAAUUUAAUAAAAAAUUUAGUAUAAUAAUUUCAUUGGGGUGAUUUUGUAACAAGAAAAACUUAAUUUUAAAAAACCAUAAAUAAUUGAAAUUUUUGAUCUAAAAUUUUUAAAGAAAAGAUUAAAUUACCUUAGGGAUAACAGCGUAAUUUUUUUUAAGAGUUCAUAUCUAUAAAAAAGUUUGCGACCUCGAUGUUGAAUUAAGAUAAAAUAUUGAAGUAG
rnacentral:rRNA from 1 species